rnacentral:rRNA from 1 species
GACGAACGCUGGGGGCGUGCUUAACACAUGCAAGUCGAACGAUGAAGCCGGAGCUUGCUCUGGUGAAUUAGUGGCGAACGGGUGAGUAACACGUGAGUAACCUGCCCUUGACUCUGGGAUAACUGCGGGAAACUGUAGCUAAUACCGGAUACGACCAUCGGAGGCAUCUCCUGGGGGUGGAAAGAAUUUCGGUCAAGGAUGGACUCGCGGCCUAUCAGCUAGUUGGUGAGGUAAAGGCUCACCAAGGCGACGACGGGUAGCCGGCCUGAGAGGGUGACCGGCCACACUGGGACUGAGACACGGCCCAGACUCCUACGGGAGGCAGCAGUGGGGAAUAUUGCACAAUGGGCGCAAGCCUGAUGCAGCAACGCCGCGUGAGGGAUGACGGCCUUCGGGAUGUAAACCUCUUUUAGCAGGGAAGAAGCGAAAGUGACGGUACCUGCAGAAAAAGCACCGGCUAACUACGUGCCAGCCGCCGCGGUAA